ACACCGUUGGUGAAGUGGUUAUCAUGCUUGCCUUCCAAUCACUGACGGAGCAAGCGGCUCGGGUUCGAUUCCCGAACGGUGUA